CAACACUCAACCCUUAUUCGGGUCGAUUGCCAACACCAACCAUUCCAUUUACCCCGCAACACACUAUUACGUCUGGUAGGAACCUCCACAACCAACACCUCCCUACAAGGUUGACCAAAAGACCUCGAAAUUACAAUCGCAACUAUCUCGAGUCGCCGAAAACUUGAUCGACCACCCGACCCAUUCAUCAGUCGCAUCAUCCUUCAUCUCACAACCAAGCGAUCCGCGCUCAUCUCGCGCACAACAACAGCUCCUCGUCUUACAAGGCCCAAUAUAAGUCCUCACCA
rnacentral:lncRNA from 1 species